rnacentral:tmRNA from 1 species
GGGGGCGAUUGGACUCGACGGAGAUAGGUUGAGCUUGGAUUGCAGGCCGAGUGCCAGAACUCGUAAAAAUACUGGGCUAAACAUAAAUGCUAAUAAUAAUAAAUUAGCCUUAGCAGCCUAAUAAUAUAGCUGCUACGUCUACAAAAAGUUUCCUGUGCUUUUUGAUAGGCGACGAUUAGCAGGAUACCUUAUAGCAGUUUGUCUAAAGCUGCUGUUUGGGAAUUUUUAGCAGACUAGCUUUUUAAAAUCCUGUUCAUGGGGUUUUAAAAAGCGAAUCUUAAUUAUGAACUAAGCUUGUAGAAGUCUAAGUGGCAAUAUUUUCGGACGCGGGUUCGAAUCCCGCCGCCUCCACCA